rnacentral:lncRNA from 1 species
CUCCUCUCGUCCCUCUCCUCCUGCGCGUGCACCGCUGCCCUCAUCACCACGGGCUGCCUCCCCGCGUGCUCCCUGACUGCCCUGCGCCAUAGAACCGUGCCCGUCCGCUCCACGUGCUCGGCUGCUUCGCCCACGCCAAGGAACCCAAGCCGGAGCCCCAGCUGCCUCGCCGGAUUCGCGUCGUCCUCGACAUUACACCCGCCGGCGACCUCCGUCGAAUUCGUCAUCAUCGGGCCUUCCCCGAGCUCGCUAUGCACCUCUACAGGGCCCAUGUGAGCUUCCGCCUCCUUCCCCCUCUGUCCUUCUCUUAAUUCCACCGACGUAGGCGCUGCUGCUCGACUGGCCUGAGCUCGCUCCGCCCGGCGCCCUCUGGCCGCUUUUCCGCCUGCGCAGGGCCACGCUCCGGCUAGACUGGUUGCGUCUCGUACGCGCCCCGUUCGCGAAGUCCACGGGCCGCGGCCUCGCCUUGUGCGCGCAUCCUCCCGCAGCCACCUGCGUCGCGCCGAACGGCUCUCGUUGCGCCCUGCCUCUCCCUAGGUCGAGCCCGGCUGCACACCACGUCGACGUUGCCGUCUCUCGCUCGCCCCGCCCCGCUGGCCGCAGCGCCCGUCGCUGGGCGCCCGCGCCUCCUGUCGCUUGCGCCGCCCGCUUUGCCUCGUCGUCGCCCCGCGCACGGCCUCACCUCCCCGCUGUAGCCACUGCCGUCAAGCCUGCGGCCCACCUUCGCCCGUCCGCCCCCGUUGCUGCCCUCGCCGUCCGCCAUUGCCCCGCCUGCCGCUCGCGCCAUUGCUCAUCGCCGCCCCGCACUGCCGUUGUUGGCAGCUGUCGGCGCCCCGCCCCGGGCGGGCUACGGCCUCCACGGGCGCCCGCCCCGCUUCACCACCUGACAUCCAGCGCCCGACAACCCACCCCGGUCGGCCUGGGCCAUUAACCAGAGGGGGGCGCCCUUGUAAAUAAUAAUAAAAAAAGAUAAUAAAAAUGAAAAUAUUAUUUAUUAAAUAGGUUAUUAAUUAACUUAAUUAGCUUAAUUGAAUUAGCCUAAUUACCUAAGUUAGCUAAUUAAAACUAUUAGUUUAGUUAGGUCAAUGACAGAUGGGCCCCAUUGUCCUGUUUGACCUGUCAACAUUUAGUGUUGACCGCUGACAUCAUGAUGACGUCAUGCUGGUGCAAUAACUCUGUUUUAGAUUCAAUAUUAAUUUCAGAAAAUAUUUUAAAAUUUUGAAAAAUAAUGUAAAUUAAACCGUAACUUGGAUGAAAAAACUUUCUACAUGAAAGUUACUCAUAACGACGAGACGAAUCCGAACACACGGUCCUUUCGUCCGCCACACGUCCCUAGUAGCAAACGUUGAACUUUUCCCCUCCGGUUCAUCUGUUUUCCCCCUUCACCAGUAUCGCCUAACACUGUGUUAGAACACCUCUAGCCCCGCUUAUUGUCUUGUUAUGCAUAUGUUUGUGUGUAUUUACUGUUUCUUCCCCCUCUUCUCUCCGGUAGACCCCGAGACCGAUGCCGAUGUCCCUGUGAUCGACUACGUCGCCGACGACCCUUUUUCCCUUUCAGCGGAGCUUCCAGGCAAGCCCCCCCUUUGAUCAUCCCGAUAUCGCACAUUCCAUUCUCCCAUGCUUGCAUUAAUUUUGCAACUGUAAUUGAUUGCUCCUAUUCUGAUGCAUAGCCUGCUUUUGUAAACUGCUAUUGUACCUUACCAGUUUAUCCUAAACUGCUUAGUAUAGGUUGGUCAGUGAUCCAUCAGUGACCCCCACCUUGUCCUUGUCGCCCCUGCUUCAUCAUCGAUGACUCGAUCAACAUGAUAGACGACCAGAGCCCGACACUUCACUUCACAUCAUGCCCUUUUUGUUGCUCGACUCUACAGAGUUACCAUCGAGUGCCGAGGGUGGUACCUCAUACAUCACUCCUGAUGAAAUCUCUGUAGUGUAGCUAUUCGGUCGUGGUCAUCGAGGGUGAUUCCUCCUUAACCACUUCCGAUAUGACUUUGUCGUGCAACCCCUCAAGUGUGAACCUCGAGGGUGGUUCCUCUUACGUUCACCUUGAUGAUUACAUCGAGUGGAAUCCACCGAGGGUGAUUCCACGGGUUUUCCCCUUGAUGUGUGGACACACGGUUACCUUGACAUUACUUGAGACCAUUGAUGAAGUCGUGUCGGCCCUCAGGGGUACCCGCGAAUUGAUGUGAAAGUCAGGCGGGCCCGCAGAGCACCCACGAGUUUUCCAUGUGGCACGACCAUGGAGUCUGGGCCCUUGCCGUAAGUCCACGAGACGGGGCGACGGGGUCACAUUAUCGUGAGUCUCUGCUUGUCUCCGUGAGCCCCCAAUGCACUAACAAGUUUGGGUAUUUGUUCUGAGUUGGCCUCUGGCCUUUACGCACUAACCACCACGCGAGAAUAGUGAUGAGCCUCGAUGUCGUGGUAUCAGCCGAAGCUUUGUCAGAUGUUCAGUUCAGCAUUGCGGCACGGCUUGGUCGGCGCCCCAGUGGAGGUGGCCUGGAUCGCCCUGCGCGCAACGAUCCGGAGUGCAAGGGGCGAUGGGCCCAGACCCCGGAGUGCUUAGGAUGUAGACUGGUAGGGACCUCUCUGCUGAGCCUAGGUAGGGCUGCGACGUGUUGAUCUUCCGAGGCCGGGCAUUGACCCCAGAAAGGUGUGUCCGGCCAGAGUAAUCGAGCGUGUUGGGUAACGUGAUGCACCCCUGCAGGGAAGUUAUAUACUCGAAUACCGUGUCCACGGUAAUGGAUGUUCAGACUUAUAUCCUGAUCUUAUAUAACUAGAAAUGGAUACUUGAGUUAUGUGAUGGAUAUGUGGCUCUGAGAUUGCUUUCUCGCAGGGAGUCGAGGAAGGAUCUCUGGGCAUUGAUGCUACAACAUGCUUGUUAAAUAUUAAAAUGCUACUCUUUACUCUUCUACAUGCUGCAAGAUGCUUGGAGCUACUUGAAGAUGCUAGUCUUCGAUAGACUAGGCCUUCCACCCUCUAUUUUGGCAUUCUGUAGUUCAGUCCACAGAUACAAACCUUCCAUUUGAUAUCAAUGCACACUUAGUAUAGAUCUGAUGCUUGCGAGUACUUUGGGUGGGUACUCAUGAUUGCUUUGCUACCCCCUUUUCCCCCUUCUUUCUUCUUUCCGGUUGUUGCAACCAGAUGGUGGAUCCCUGGAGCAAGAUGCCAUCGCCGAUGGAUGCUAGUACGUGAAGAUCGCCGACGACCAGGAGUAGUUAGGAGGUCCCUGGCAGGAGGCCUUGCCUCUUCGAUCGUUUUUGCUUUUGUGCUAACCUUCUUAAGGCAUCCUUGUUUAACUUAUGUCUGUACUCAGAUAUUGUUGCUUCCGCUGACUCUUGUGUAUCGAGCUAUGUAUUCAAGCCCUCGAGGCCCCUGGCUUGUAAUAUAAAGCUUGUAUUAUUUUAUUUGUGUCUAGAGUUGUGUUGUGAUAUCUUCCCGUGAGUCCCUGAUCUUGAUCGUACACAUUUGUGUGUAUGAUUAGUGUACGAUUGAAUCGGGGGCAUCACAAGUUGGUAUCAGAGCCGACUGCCUGUAGGAUCCCCCUUUCCAACUCCUUGGGCGAAGUUGAGUCUAGUGUUUGAAAAUUUGUUUUACUAACAUGGAUGUGUGGCUUACGGGCCCACGUCGCCAUUGGGUGGUAUUAGGAUCUUUUAUUCCUCUACUAUGCUCUGGGACUCUGAUCUCUCUUCUAUUCGGUUAAUGAUUUUGCUAACUCUAACCUUAGGAUCUCGUGAUCACAUCCAUCCAGAGAUUUGUAUUAUGCCUUUCUUGAAUUGGGAGCCAGGAUCUGCUUCACUUUGUUCACGAGACGUAGAAAUCCUUCUAUCGAGGGCACCCUGCAUCGUCCCCUGCAGAUUCCUCGCUCUAGUGGUUUUCUCCGACGAUGAUGUAGCCUUUGCUAUGUCUCGUUGUUGUAUCCUUCCAUCGUGUGUGUGUGCCGCCUAGUAUGUCUAGGAUGAUCCUCUUGUCUGAACUCCUACUAACAACGUGUGUUUGGCUCUAUAUAUGUAUCUGUAUGUCUUUAAUGACUACUGCUUUGUACAUACUGCGCCUUUGCUCACUGUUCAAGUUACAUCAUGAAUGACUCCUUACACCUGCUCCACCCCCCUAUUAAAUUGCUUCCUGAUAUUUUAGCAGGAUGGCUGACGAUCAUCCACCUCCACCCUAUAUUGCCGCAAUGAUGCAGCAGUUUGAGCUGAAUCGUCAGUUUAUGAUUGGAGUAAUGGCCCAGUUUCCAAACCAGAGUACUCAUCAACAGCCUGCCCCAAUAACACUACAAGAAUUCGUGUGCCUCAACCCGUCCAUUUUCCGCAACUCCACCAAUCCCAUGGAUGCUGAUGAUUGGCUUCGUGACAUCCAGUUUGAGAUGGAGUCAGCUAAUGUGGCCCCUGCCAGUUACGUCACCUUUGCGACAUUCCACUUGAAAGGUCCAAUUGCUCAAUGGUGGGAAAGCCACAGGGGUAUGCUGCAUGCAGAGACUGUAACCACUUGGCAGGAAUUUCAUAGCCUUCCGUGCACGACACAUUCCUCAAGGUCUGAUGGACCAGAAGAAGAAGGAGUUCCGCAAAAUCUCACGGGGCACAAUGACUGUGGAUGAAUAUUAGAGGAAAUUCCUUGAAUUAACCCGCUAUUCUCCGGAUGACGUCUGCACUGACGCUCGCAAGCAAGAGAAAUUUUGUGAAGAACUGCAUCCCGAUAUAAAGCUCGCACUUGUUGCUCAUGAUUGUGCAGACUUUGCGACACUUGUCAACCAAGCUUUCCGAACUGAAACUGGUCUAACUGAGUACCAGGAGUCGCUCAAGCGUACUCGCGAUGUUGGCCCAUCCUCGAGUCAACCUGCUCAGAAACGCCGAGUCUGGAUCCCACACAAUGUUCAUCACCGACCUGCUCCAACACCAACGCCGUCUUAUGUUGCACCUCGUCUGCCUCCGCCACCGAGACAACCAACGAUUCAGGCUGGACAAUCCAAUGUUGUGGCUCCUCCCCAUAAUGAUGGUUUACGCCGCAAGUGUGGACAACCAAGACACCUUGCCCUCAACUGUCGCCCUGGUCAGCCGCAUAAUGCUUCACGUCCUCCUGUUGGUCGUAAGAAGGGUCGUCGAACACAUCAUACCGGAAGUUGUAGUGCCGGACCACCUGCUAUGAGUGUUGGUCAAGUCACCCAUGUCAAGAUUGAAGAAGCUCACGAGUCUCCAAAAAUUGUGAUGGGUACCCUUCGCGUUAAUUCAGUGCCCACUUACGUUCUCUUCGAUUCAGGAGCAUGACAUGCUUUUGUGUCCCAACAAUUUGCCCAGUUGCAUGGGUGGGAUAUGGAAAAUUUGCCCACUCCCUUAGCGAUUCAAUCUCUGGGAUCCAAGUGGCAAACCACAAUGUUAUGCCCUUGCAACCAAAUCGAGAUUGGAGGUCUACUUUUUCCGGCUUCUCUCAUUAUACUCGGACCUUCCAACAUAGACAUCAUUCUUGGUAUGGACUGGUUGACAGCCCAUAGUGCUAAGAUCGACUGUGCUACCAAGACAGUCCAACUCACUCACCCUUCUGGCCAGACAGUCCAAUACUCAGUCCUAGCAGCUCAGGAUGCCGAGAAUCAGAUAUAUGUUCUAAAUGCAUUGAAUGCCUCACCUCUUGAGGGAAUAGAGAACAUUCCAGUUGUUCGUGAUUUCAAAGAUGUCUUCCUAGAAGAACUUCUAGGAAUACCCCCUGCUAGAGCGGUCGAAUUCGUCAUAGACUUGAAGCCGGGCACUACUCCUAUUGCCAAGCGACCCUACAAGAUGCCGCCUCAUGAACUCCUUGAGCUUAAGGAGGAAAUCGAUACUUCACUUUGUCAGGGCUUUAUCCGUCCAAGUUCCUCUGCUUGGGGAGCACCUUCUCUCUUUGUCAAGAAGAAGGAUGGAACUAAUUGUUUGGUCCAAGAUUACCGAUCUAUCAACCAGGCAACAAUUCAAAACAAGUAUCUUCCUAGAAUCAACGAUCUGUAUGAACAACUUGCUGGUUCCUCAGUACUCUCUAAACUUGAUUUGAGGUUGGGUUACCACCAAAUCCGGGUUCGUGAAGAAGAUAUUCCCAAGACCGCCUUCGUUACUCGAUAUGGUUCAUACGAGUACACCGUCAUGUCCUUCGGCUUGACCAAUGCUCCAGCGACAUUCUCUUGUUUGAUGAACUAUAUAUUCAUGGAAUACCUCGACAAGUUCGUCGUGGUUUAUCUGGAUGAUAUCCUUGUAUACUCCAAGAACAAAGAAGAACGUGAUGAACACCUUCGACUUGUUUUGGAAAAGCUUCGGGAACAUCAACUCUAUGCAAAGUAUUCUAAAUGUGAAUUCUGGCUUCCUGAAGUGACCUACCUUGGGCAUGUCAUCUCCAAGGAUGGUAUUGUCGUCAACCCCGAGCGAGUUCAGGAUAUUCUCGAUUGGACUCCUCCGAAGAAUGUCAAGCAAGUCAGAAGUUUUCUCUGACUCACUGCCGUCGAUUUGUCGAGAACUUCUCCAAGAUUGCCAAGCCCCUGACUGGUCUGCUUCACAAGGGCGUUAAGUUUGAUUGGACAGAAAAGUGUCAGGAAAGUUUCCAGGCACUCAAAGACAAGCUGACUUCUGCCCAAGUGCUUGCUCCACCUGAUACUAAGAAGGACUUCGUCAUUUACUGCGACGCUUCACGUCAAGGAUUAGGCGGUGUUCUAAUGCAAGGGCGCAGAGUGAUUGCUUAUGCCUCUCGUCAACUGCGCCCUCACGAAGAGAACUACCCAGUUCAUGACCUCGAGCUUGCUGCUAUCAUACAUGCACUGAAACAGUGGCAACAUUACCUUCUUGGUAAUCGUUGCAAGAUAUUCACCGACCACCAAAGUCUGAAGUACAUGUUUACUCAGCCAAAUUUGAACCUCUGUCAGCAGAGAUGGAUGGAGACGUAGAAGACUUUGAUUUCGGUAUUUCCUAUACCCCAGGCAAGGCUAAUGUAAUGGCUGAUGCUUUGAGCCGCAAGUCAUAUUGCAACCACCUCCGGGUUCACCAAGUUCAGCCCUUGCUAGUUGAAGAAUUCAGAAAGCUGAACCUCCAUGUUGUUCCUCCUGGUGCACUCGCUCCCCCUCCUCCAGAGUGCCGCAAAAUGAACCUCCAGGUUGUUCCCCAGGGUUCUCUCAAUACCCUGGUUGCUAAACCGGAUCUCGUGGAUAACAUCAAGGAGCUGCAGAAAUAUGACUAUGAAGCCCACAAGAUUAAGCGCUACCUCAUAGAAGGAAAGCCCUCAUUCUUCACUGUUGCUGAUGAUGGCACUUUGUACUUCAAAGUCCGCCUAGUGGUGCCGUGUAAGGAGAAAAACCUAGAUAUGACUAAGGAGGUUAUGGAAGAAGCUCAUGACACUCUGUUGUCUAUUCAUCCCGGUAGCACCAAGAUGUACCAAGACAUUCGUCAAAGAUUCUGGUGGUCAAACAUGAAGCAAGACAUUGCUCGCUAUGUUGCUGAAUAUGACAUUUGCCGUCGUAUCAAAGCAGAACAUCAAAGGCCUGUUGGAACUCUGCAACCUAUCUCUAUUCCUGAAUGGAAAUGGGACCAUGUUGAAAUGGACUUCGUCACUAGUUUUCCCAAGUCACAUAAAGGUAAUGAUGUUAUUCUUGUCGUCAUUGACCGGCUUUCCAAGGUUGCACACUUUCUGUCCGUCAAAGAAACGAUCACUGCUAGUCAGCUGGCAACUCUCUAUAUGUCCAGAAUUGUUUCACUUCACGAUAUUCCGCUGGUAAUCAGCUCAGACCGUUGCAGCUUAUUCACUUCAAGAUUCUGGGCAAGUUUCCAAGAAGCUAUGGGAACUCAUCUGUCAUUCAGCACCACUUUUCACCCUCAGUCUCAGGGACAAGUUGAACGCGUCAACCAAGUUCUCGAAGACAUGCUUCGAGCUUGUGUUAUUUCCUUCGGCAAGAAAUGGGAGGAAUCUCUCCCGUAUGCUGAGUUCUCCUACAACAAUAGCUAUCAAGCUAGUCUGAAGAUGGCCCCCUUCGAAGUGUUAUAUGGAAGAAAGUGUCGAACCCCUCUGAACUGGUCAGAAACUGGGGAACAUCCACUCUUCGGUCCGGAUAUUAUCCAACACGCCGAAGAACAAGUCCGCGUCAUUCACAAGAAUCUCAAGACUGCUCAGUCAUGUCAAAAGAGUCAGUAUGACCGUCAUCAUAAGGACAUGGUCUAUCAACCUGGUGAAAAGGCUUAUCUUUGAGUCACACCAAUGAAGGGUGCUCACCGCUUCGGGGUCAAGGGCGAGCUAGCUCCUCGCUAUAAUUGGCCCUUUCACUAUUCUCGAGGGACGUGGAAAAGUGGCAUACCAGUUGGAGCUUCCGUCGAACCUUUCUCAGGUUCAUGAUGUGUUCCACGUGUCAACUCUGCCGCUGCUUCAAGGACCCAAUCCGAGUAAUGGAUCAUGAAGUGCUCUAGUUGCAACAGGACCUCUCCUAUAAAGAGCAUCCGGUCCGCAUUCUCGACCAAGCUCAAUGCCGCACACGUCACGAGGCGAUCAAGUUCCUCAAGGUCCAGUGGUCGCAUCACUCUGAAGACGAAGCCACUUGGGAAUGCGAGGAUCAUCUUCGUGAAGAAUACCCCGCUUUGUUUCCUUCUACCUCCUAAAUCUCGGGAUGAGAUUUCUUGUAGUGGGGGAGAAUUGUAACGCUCGGACAAUUAUGCAAUAGUAAUCACGCUAAUGGUGCCAUCAUCGAUUUUUACUGUUGUUAAGCUCGCGUUGAUUCAAAGUCGGUUCCAACUGAUAGCUUAAAAUAAGUAAAUAAAAGAAAAGUUGAAAACAAGCAAACAAGAAAACAAAUCAAAAGGCCCCUAGCCCAACUGGGCCAAUCAGCCCAGCCGGCCGGCCCACCUCUCCCUCUCCCUUAUCCGCCCACGCACCCAAAAUAUCUAGACAGAUCGCCCCACUCCCCCCACGUCUCCCUCUCGUUCCCCUCCUCUCGUCCCUCUCCUCCCUUGCGUGCACCGCAGCCGUCAUCGCCACGGCCUGCCACCCCGCGCGCUCCCCGACUGCCCUGCGCCAUAGGACCGUGCAUGUCCGCUCCUACGUGCUCUGCUGCUUCGCCCAAGCCAAGGAACUCAAGCCGGAGCCCCAGCUGCCUCGCGGGUCCGCGUCGUCCUCGACCUUACACCCGCCUGUGACCUCCGUCGAAUUCUUCAUCACCGGGCCUUCCCCGAGCUUGCUAUGCACCUCUAUAGGGCCCCUGUGAGCUACCGCCUCCUCCCCCUCUGUCCUUCUCUUAAUUCCACCGACGUAGGCGCUGCUGCUCAACUAGCCUGAGCUCGCUCCGCCUCGCGCCCUCUGGCCGCGUCUUCGCCUGUGCAGGGCCACGCUCCGGCUAGACCGUCCGCGUCUUGUACGCGCGCCGUUCGCGAAGUCCACGGGACGCGGCCCAGCCUUAUGCGUGCGUCCUCCUGUAGCCACCUGCGCCGCGCCGAACGGCUCUCGUCGCGCCCUGCCUCUCCCUGGGUCGAGCCCGCCUGCACACCACGCCGCUGCUGCCAUCUCUGGAUCGCCCCGCCCCGCUGGCCGCAACGCCUAUCUCUGGGCGCCUGCACCCCCUGUCGCCUGCGCCGCCCGCUUCGCCUCGUCAUCACCCUGCGCACGGCCUCGCCUCCCCGCUGCAGCCACUGCCACCAAGCGUGCGGCCCACCUCCGCCCGUCCGCCCCGUUGCUGCCCGCACCGUUCUCCAUUGCCCCGCCUGCCGCUCGCGCCAUUGCUAGUCGCCGCCCCGUACUGCCUCCCNNNNNNNNNNNNNNNNNNNNNNNNNNNNNNNNNNNNNNNNNNNNNNNNNNNNNNNNNNNNNNNNNNNNNNNNNNNNNNNNNNNNNNNNNNNNNNNNNNNNNNNNNNNNNNNNNNNNNNNNNNNNNNNNNNNNNNNNNNNNNNNNNNNNNNNNNNNNNNNNNNNNNNNNNNNNNNNNNNNNNNNNNNNNNNNNNNNNNNNNNNNNNNNNNNNNNNNNNNNNNNNNNNNNNNNNNNNNNNNNNNNNNNNNNNNNNNNNNNNNNNNNNNNNNNNNNNNNNNNNNNNNNNNNNNNNNNNNNNNNNNNNNNNNNNNNNNNNNNNNNNNNNNNNNNNNNNNNNNNNNNNNNNNNNNNNNNNNNNNNNNNNNNNNNNNNNNNNNNNNNNNNNNNNNNNNNNGCCUCGCCCCGCCCCGGGCGGGCUGCCGCCUCCAUGGGCGCCCGCCCCACUUCACCGCCUGACGCCCAGCGCCCGACAACCCACCCCGGUCGGCCUGGGCCACUGACCAGAGGGGCUGCCCUUGUAAAUAAUUAAAAAAAGAUAAUAAAAAUGAAAAUAUUAAUUAAUUAAAUAGGUAAUUAAUUAACUUAAUUAGCUUAACUUAAUAAGCCUAAUUACCUAAUUUAGUUAAUUAAAAUUGUUAGUUUAGUUAGGUCAAUGACAGAUGGGCCCCAUUGCCCUGUUUGACCAGUCAACGUUUAGUGUUGACCGCUGAUGUCAUGAUGACGUUAUGCUGGUGCAAUAACUCUGUUUUAGCUUGAAUAUUAAUUUCAAAAAAUAUUUUAAAACUUCGAAAAAUCAUGUAAAUUAAACCGUAACUCGGAUCGAAAAAACUUUGUACAUGAAAGUUGCUCAGAACGACGAGACGAAUCCGAACACGCAGUCCGUUCAUCCGCCACACGUCCCUAGCAUAGAAAAUGUUGAACUUUUCCCCUCCGGUUCAUCUAUCUGACACACGUCCGGAACUGGGAAAACUUUCCCAGAUGUUUUCACCCUUCGCCAGUAUCGCCUAGCACUGCGUUAGAACACCUCUAGCCGCGCUUAUUGUCUUGUUAUGCAUAUGUUUGUGUAUAUUUAAUGUUUCUUCCCCCUCUUCUCUCCAGUAGACCCCGAGACCGAUGCUGAAGUCCCUGUGAUCGACUACGUCACCGACGACCCUUCUUCCCUUUCAGCGGAGCUUCCAGGCAAGCCCCCCCUUGAUCAUCCCGAUAUCGCCCAGUCCAUUCUCUCAUGCUUGCAUUGUAUUUUGCAACUGUAAUUGAUUGCUCCUAUUUUGAUGCAUAGCCUGCUUUUGUAACCUGCUAUUGUACCUUACAUGUUUAUCCUAAACUGCUUAGUAUAGGUUGGUUAGUGAUCCAUCAGUGACCCCCACCUUGUCCUUGUCGCCCCUGCUUCAUCAUCGACGACUCGAUCAACAUGAUCGACGACCAGAGCCCGACACCUCACUUCACAUCACGCCCUUUUUGUUGCUCGACUCUACAGAGUUACCAUCGAGUGCCGAGGGUGGUACCUCAUACAUCACUCCCGAUGAGAUCUCUGUAGUGUAGCUAUUCGGUCGUGGUCAUCGAGGGUGAUUCCUCCUUAACCACUUCCGAUACGACUCUGUCGUGCAACCCCUCAAGUGUGAACCUCGAGGGUGGUUCCUCUUACGUUCACCUUGAUGAUUACAUCGAGUGGAAUCCAUCGAGGGUGAUUCCUCGGGUUUUCCCCUUGAUGUUUGGACACACGGUUACCUUGACUUUACUUGAGACCAUUGAUGAAGUCGGGUCGGCCCUGAGGGGUACCCGCGAGUUGAUGUGAAAGUCGGGCGGGCCCGUAGAGCACCCGCGAGUUUUCCACGUGGCAUGUUCGGGCAGUCUGGGCCCUUGUCCUAAGUCCACGGGACGGCGCGACGGGGAGUCUCUGCUUGUCUCCGCGAGCCCCCAAUGCACUAACAGGUUUGGGUAUUUGUUCUGAGUUGGCCUCUGGCCUUUACACACUGACCACCACGCGAGAAUAGUUAUGGGCCUCGACGUCGUGGUAUUAGCCGAAGCUUUGUCAGACGUCCAGUUCAGCAUUGCGGCACGGCCUGGUCGGCGCCCUAGUGGAGGUGGCCUAGAUCGCCCUGCGCGCAACAAUUUGGAGUGCAACGGGCGAUGGGCCCAGACCCCGGAGUGCUUAGGAUGUAGACCGGCGGGGACCUCUCUGCUGAGCCUAGGUAGGGCUGCGACGUGUUGAUCUUCCGAGGCCGGGCGUUGAUCCCAGAAAGGUGUGACCGGCCAGAGUGAUCGAGCGUGUUGGUUAACGUGGUGCACCCCUGCAGGGAAGUUAUAUAUUCGAAUACCGUGUCCACAGUAAUGGACGUUCGGACUUAUAUCCUGAUCUUAUAUAACUAGAAAUGGAUACUUGAGUUAUGUGAUGGAUAUGUGGCUCUGAGAUUGCUUUCUCGCAGGGAGUCAAGGAAGGAUCUCUAGGCGUUGAUGCUACAACAUGCUUGUUAAAUAUUAAAAUGCUACUCUUUACUCUUCUACAUGCUGCAAGAUGCUUGGAGCUGCUUGAAGAUGCUAGUCUUCGAUAGACUAGUCCUUCCACCCUCUAUUCUGGCAUUCCGCAGUUCAGUCCACAAAUACAAACCUUCCAUUUGAUACCAAUGCAUACUUAGUAUAGAUCUGAUGCUUGCGAGUACUUUGGAUGGGUACUCACGGUUUCUUUGCUACCCCCUUUUCCCCCUUCUUUCUUCUUUCUGGUUGUUGCAACCAGAUGGUGGAUCCCUGGAGCUAGAUGCCACCGCCGAUGGGUGCUACUACGUGAAGAUCCCCGAUGACCAGGAGUAGUUAGGAGGUCCCAGGCAGGAGGCCUUGCCUCUCGAUCGUUGUUGCUUUUGUGCUAGCCUUCUUAAGGCAUCCUUUUUUAACUUAUGUCUGUACUAUGAUAUUGUUGCUUCCGCUGACUCUUGUGUAUCAAGCUACGUAUUCGAGCCCUCGAGGCCCCUGGCUUGUAAUAUAAAGCUUGUCUUAUUUUAUUUGUGUCUAGAGUCGUGUUGUGAUAUCUUCCCGUGAGUCCCUGAUCUUGAUCGUACACAUUUGCGUGUAUGAUUAGUGUACGAUUGAAUCAGGGGCGUCACAUGAAGUCUCCCCCAAGUAGCCAGGGACCGGCCAUGGUGGCGUGGAGCUCAUGGAGCUCAGUAAGGAAAGCCAUCUUAUCAUCGUCGGCCUGAGGGCCAUACAUGUUGGUGAUCCACCAGGGGUGCUCGUCUGAUGGGGUGGAGACGACUGGGGAGACAUGGUAGGUGCCAAUUGAGGGGCUAGAGAGGUUGACGAGGUCGAGUCGCCACGCGAGGAGAAUGCCACCCCUCGUUCCUGCGGCCGACAGCCAGUAGAAGCCGGUGAAGAGGGAGCCGAGUGUCUCAAGGAUGACCUCGGGCGUGACCAAAUCCAGCUUGGUCUCAGAGAGGCACACGAUGGAAGGAGAGGCAGCAGAGAUGACGGUCCGGAUUGCGGUAUGCUUGGCACGGCAAUUAAGCCCACGGACAUUACAGAAUAUGAUUUUAAGGUUUUGAUCCAUAUGAAGGAGGGUACACGGUGGGACGGGGUGGGAGAGAAAUCAGAUCUCAACCAGCCUCUGCUGAGCCUGGGACGUGCCGUCGAACAGUUCGGGUGGACGUGCCAUCCAUAAAAAUCUGCAAAAGCCUGGACCACCUCAGCGGCGAGAGGACGGUCGAAGAGGCGUGUGUACUUCUCGAGCACUGCCGCGGAAACGGGCGCGUCCUCCUCGAGGAGACCCAGACGGCGGAGAAGAACCCGUUUCGCUCUUGUCUCGGAGUCCAGGCCCUUGUCAUGCAUGACAAUGCGUCCACUGCGCCUCGGCGUGAAGUUGGGAGGUAGCUGGCCCCGCUUGCGGCGAGCGGGCGGCGUCGACAAGAUGGGGUUCCCGGAGGUCCGGAGGUCGUCGAUGUAGUCUAGCGCGUGCUGGGGCACGGGCCAAGAAGCCCGCCCGUUGGACGUGGGCGCGGGAAGCUGCAUGGCGAUCGGGGAAUUGGCCGCACUAGCAAUGACACGCGGCGCGCAUGAAGUGGCCUCCAACACGCCCGGUUGGGGCCCGGGGAUCUGAGCCGGGCCAGCCGAUGGGGAGGAGGGCCUCGGAGACGGCCCCACCAGGUUGUCUUUAGUGGCUAGCGGGGUGGGGGAUGCAUGGCCAUCCAAUGGCUGGUUGGCCAGCUCUAGGGGCGUGGGGGAGACCACCUAGGGAUCCGCAGGGGGGUCCGCCACGACCGGAUCAGAGGGCUCGGGAUUGCCAAAAAGGGAAGCUUUGGGGUCUGCAGCGGGCAUGUCAGGAACGCUGCCAGGCGGUGAUGGGCUGGAGGGGUGCAGGCACAGAUCAGCCGCAUCGAUUGCGUCAGGAGGAGGCGUCAGCAGCAGUGGGGGGAAAUGGUGUCGUUGAUGGGAUCUGAGGCGGCCUCAACCAGUAGUUGGCCGCCACGGUCGAAGGGUGGACCGGCCCACGUCCCGGUUUGAAUAGCCAGGACCAAGUCGCUGGUCGUUGCUUGGAGCGUAGCGGGAGUUGCAGCCGUGAUAGGGGAAAGCCGCACAUGGACUCGACGCCCACGGGAAAAGCCGCCAACAGGGGGUGCGGCCCGAGGACGCCAUGCCGCCCACGGGACGGCGGCGCUGCACGCCACCGGCGAUGAUGCCCAAAAGAACUGCCACCAUGGCCACGGCUUGGACCCGGUUGAGAACCAUCGGGGGGCGGGAAGUCGUGCGGGCGCGGCCAUGCAUCCGAGCAGGGCGGGGAGCCACGACCUGCGUCGCCACCGUCGCUGGAGGCAAGGUGGGUGGGGGAUGGUGGACAGCCAGGAAGGCGGUAGUCGGUAGAGCGCCGGACAUGAAUGGAGACAGGAAAACGUAGCAGCUCGACGGUGAAGUGGUCGACGGUGCUUGGGUCGGCAUAGGCAUAGGCGUAGGGCUCGGCCAACAGAAGCUCAGAAGACCGUGGGAUGGAGUCGGGGUCGGCGGUCCAGGCAGAGAGCCGGAAAACGGACAUGUCGCUGUCGUCGAGAGUCUCCAGGGCGAGUCGGUCGAUGAGGCAAAACGGCGACAGCAACUGGAUGGCGGAGGAGAUAUCCCAGCCAUGCUAUGGGAUUCCGGUGAUCUCGAUGUCGAAGGAGAUGCGCAACGAGAUGGACUCAGCGCCGGUGAGCCUGCUCCAAGGAUGGAGGAUGAGGCGGAACCGGGGGGCGCGGAAGGGGGCCGCAACCACGCGCGCACGGGUAGCCGCAUCCACGAACCGCAAGAGGAACUCGUCGUCACGGCCGCGAUGGACGGAGAACGUGUCUGGGCCGAGACAGAAGUACGCAGAGAGCGCGUCGGCAAUGUCAGCCGCGGAGACGCCAUGCCAGUUCCCAGCGACCAUGGCGAUGAAAGCCAGGUCAAGAGCACGCUCAGCCUCCUCGAGCCACGCGGUGCGUGGUAUGUAGCAGAUGACACCAAUCGGGCGGAGCGCGGGGUGACCCAUCAUGGCGAUGGCCGCAGGAGCAGAGCCUGCCACGCCAGAGGGGGGCGGCGGGGAGGCGGAGCUGGGGGCGGGUGACGACGGAGCACAAGAGGGGCCGGAGGACGCGGCCGGGGGGGCGGGGCCUGCCACGCUGGUGGCGGAGGAGCCGGACGAGCGCGGAGGAUACACGCGCGGUUGCUUGGCGGCAUGGGCGCCGAACGGGGGGGAGUACCGGGGGUUGGUGUAGAAACGGGAGAUGUGCCCGAAGAAGCGGCAUCACCGGCAGCGCACGUCCCUCCUGCACUCCGAGCGGGGGUGCCCGGUGCCAAGGCAGCGCGGGCACUCGUCCGCCCGCGGCGAGGGGGUGCGGUGGUCAGCGAACGGCGGGGAUCGAACAGCACGUCGGUGAGGGGCACGGCAAGGGCGCGGACGCCUCCUGCCCGAAGCCAUCUCCCAGUCGCCAUCAGCGUCUAGAUCGGCCUCGUUCUCGACCCGGUGCACCUCCGAGCGGAGCCCAGGACGCGCAGCGGGUGGCGAGGGUGGUGGAGGCGGCGAGGGGGAGGCGAGCGCCGGGGAGGAGGAGAGCACGAUGCGGUAGGAGCGGCCGCCAGAUUCCGCCGAAGAGGGGCUGGAUUCCAUCUAGCGGAGCUCGCGAGAACGGCCCUGGGCCGGGGGGAAGGGGAACGGGAGGCCAUGCCAGGCGGAGGCGCCAGAGCCGUCGCGGGGUUGGUGGACACCGGGGCCGGAGUGGCCGGCGGCGACGGUGGUGGGAGCACGGGGCGCGGAGCGGAGCCUUCACGAGCCUUCAAGCGUUCUUAUCAUUUGUUUCCUAAACUGGAAAAUGUAAAACGAUUAGUUAUGUUUACUCUAUUUUAUCUUUUAUAUUUGUGUCAACAAACAUUACAGUGUUGUUAGUGACCGUAUUCAGUUCAAUAUAUUUUGUGGCCAUGCAGUGUCUCCAUUUUACCCGGCCAUCAUUCUCUUUAGUAUGGGAGUACACGGAAAGAGCAAAAAUAUACACAACCGUGAUGGCGGUCGUGCUUGUGUGCUUAUUAGCUUAUUAUUACUGUAUUACCCAUGAUUUUGUGUUUCUGUGCUGGCUUUCUACAUAACUAGUGAUAGGUUUUUUUUGUAAAUGUAUGGGCACAUGAAACAUAUUAUAGUUGUGCAAACAUAACCGUGUAUAUUAGUCAAUAUAAUCAACGAAAUCUCAUAUACUCAGGGAAAAGGAAGGUUUAUAUAUACAAUUUGGCUUGGUAUAACAACUUACACAUCAAUAUAUGUAAUAAAUACACCCAAUCAAUCAGCCAAGACAAGCAACAUAAAAAAUAAACAUGUAACAGGAGACAUGACUGGUCAUUAUAGAUUGUAUAGAUGGUGCAUUAAUGAAAUCUUAGAAGUACAGAUUUAAAGGGGGAAAAAAUCUUAGGACUCUACCCAAAGGGCCACCAUGUUCAGCAACAAAGAAAAAUCAGGCGAGCCCGGUGCACCUAGGCACACAUUCAUAGAGAAGAGUGAUAACAAAGAUUUCAAUUAGUUGGGGAAUCAAAUAAAUAAUACAACAACUCUAAUAAUGCAGCUUCAAAUCACUGUGUUUGGCAGGUCUUGUUUACUGAAUAGGACUAUCUUAUGCAAGUCGACCAGCUGGUUUCAUAUUUCAAUAUACCACUUAAAUCAAGUUGUUAUGGUAAAUGUUGUCCGUGAGCUGAUACAUGUUUUGAUGUUCAUAAUUAUUCACAACUGAUGUUUGAUUCUUUUAGAUCUACGAUGAUCAAGACUUACCCUUCGUAAAAUUAAGUCUACUUCCAUAGGGGGAAUGGUGGGCAUAAUGGGUAUUUAUUUAACCUUUCACAUCCUUAUUUGUUCAGUAGUUUUUGUUCUUAUUUUUAAUCAUGCUUUUGUUCUACCUUAACAUAUGUUAAGUGUUUCAGGAUGAGAAGGGAAUUGAGAUGGGAGGAUAGGAGGAUGUGCAACGAGGAGACGCGGUCGCGCGACAUGGUCACACCAUAUGCGGAGGCAACGCGGGGUGAUGCGGCCACACGGUUCCGACAAGCAUGUGAGAAGCGAGAGGCGAGCGGAAGAUGCGGCGUUGCUGCUUCCAUGAAGCUGAUUCGUCGGGUUUCAAGAAAGCAUUCAACCAUC